UACCUGCAGCUCUAGUGGUGACCGCUAUUAUUGGGCCUAAAACGUCCGUAGCCGGUUUAGUAAAUGCCUGGGUAAAUCGUGUAGCUUAACUAUACGAAUUCUGGGUAGACUGCUAAACUUGAGACCGGGAGAGGCUAGAGGUACUCUUGGGGUAGAGGUGAAAUUCUGUAAUCCUGGGGGGACCACCAGUGGCGAAAGCGUCUAGCUAGAACGGGUCUGACGGUGAGGGACGAAGCCCUGGGGCACAAACCGGAUUAGAUACCCGGGUAGUCCAGGGUGUAAACGCUGCUUGCUUGAUGUUAGUUGAGCUCCGAGCCCAACUAGUGUCGGAGAGAAGUUGUUAAGCAAGCUGCCUGGGAAGUACGGUCGCAAGGCCGAAACUUAAAGGAAUUGGCGGGGGAGCACAGCAACGGGUGGAGCGUGCGGUUU
rnacentral:rRNA from 1 species